CUGCCAUGAUGCCAGCUGCAGUGGGGGAGUUGUGGCCAGGGCUGUGUGCUCCGUGGAGCCAGCAGGAGCCAGGAGCAGG
rnacentral:miRNA from 10 species